UACAGAGGUGGCAAGCGUUGUUCGGAAUUAUUGGGCGUAAAGAGCUCGUAGGCGGUUUGUCGCGUCUGCCGUGAAAGUCCGGGGCUCAACUCCGGAUCUGCGGUGGGUACGGGCAGACUAGAGUGAUGUAGGGGAGACUGGAAUUCCUGGUGUAGCGGUGAAAUGCGCAGAUAUCAGGAGGAACACCGAUGGCGAAGGCAGGUCUCUGGGCAUUAACUGACGCUGAGGAGCGAAAGCAUGGGGAGCAAACAGG
rnacentral:rRNA from 1 species